rnacentral:lncRNA from 1 species
AUCAGUUCACCACAGUUCAGUUUCGAAUAAGAGACAAAGAAGAUUACAAAGAGCCCUGCUGAAAGAACACUAUUGGGAAACGAAGGACGUAGCAAAAGUCGUGGUUGCACGAAAAAUAGCACAACCUAUAAAAUUAUAAAAAUGUGGUCGUCCUUCCAUCUACGGUCGCGUCUCUUUAUAGAAUCGCUCAGUACACAUUCCCUGCUGUUUGGCAGAUUUUACGCCUGAACCAGCCAUAAAAACCAUAAGAUAUGCCAGGCUUGUGCUGAAUGUGUCAUCUACAGCACUGUCUCAGCAGUAUCGGAUAAACAGCAUCCGGCAUCCCUUUUGAUUGGAGAAACAACCGAUGUCGUCCAAAUUACGGAUCUCUUCUUAUUCCCCUUUCUUUAAAUGUCCUCGUGUGCACCCAUGUGAGUGUGGGGGUAUUCACGAGGAUGCCCUUUUCCCUAUUCGGCCUGGUGGAUUCAACUCUUCAGAGGACGGAGCAACUGUGGAUGCCUUGCCGUAUUUCCCAGGCUUAAAGCUCGUCAACGGCAACUGGAGCACCUGGUGAAUGGAAUUCGGGUCCAGC